rnacentral:rRNA from 1 species
GACGAACGCUGGCGGCGCGCUUAACACAUGCAAGUCGAACGGAAAGGCCUGCUUUCCCUUGUGGAUUGCGGGUACUCGAGUGGCGAACGGGUGAGUAACACGUGAGUGAUCUGCCCCCAACUUGGGUAUAAGCCUGGGAAACUGGGUCUAAUUCCCGAUAGGACUGCAGGGUGGUGCCUGUGGUGGAAAACGAUUUUCUAGUGGUUGGGGAUGAGCUCGCGGCCUAUCAGCUUGUUGGUGGGGUAAUGGCCUACCAAGGCGGCGACGGGUAGCCGGCCUGAGAGGGUGGUCGGCCACAUUGGGACUGAGAUACGGCCCAGACUCCUACGGGAGGCAGCAGUGGGGAAUAUUGCACAAUGGGCGGAAGCCUGAUGCAGCGACGCCGCGUGGGGGAUGACGGCCUUCGGGUUGUAAACUCCUUUCGACCGCGAGGAAGCCACCUGGUUGGAAGGGUGGUGACGGUAGUGGUAGAAGAAGCACCGGCUAACUACGUG